rnacentral:rRNA from 1 species
UACGGGGGGGGCAAGCGUUGUUCGGAAUUACUGGGCGUAAAGGGCUCGUAGGCGGCCAACUAAGUCAGACGUGAAAUCCCUCGGCUUAACCGGGGAACUGCGUCUGAUACUGGAUGGCUUGAGUUUGGGAGAGGGAUGCGGAAUUCCAGGUGUAGCGGUGAAAUGCGUAGAUAUCUGGAGGAACACCGGUGGCGAAGGCGGCAUCCUGGACCAAUACUGACACUGAGGAGCGAAAGCGAGGGGAGCAAACGGG